rnacentral:miRNA from 1 species
GAAGGAAGUGUAGAGGGAUGAC